GAUGAACGCUAGCUACAGGCUUAACACAUGCAAGUCGAGGGACCGGCGCACGGGUGAGUAACACGUAUACAACCUGCCCUUUACUCGGGGAUAGCCUGUCGAAAGAAAGAUUAAUACCCGAUAUCAAGGAUGGUGAUGCGUUCGAUUAGGUUGUUGGUGAGGUAACGGCCCACCAAGCCUUCGAUGGAUAGGGGUUCUGAGGUGAAGGUCCCCCACAUUGGAACUGCGACACAGUCCCAACUCCUACGGGAGGCAGCAGUGUGUAAUAUUGUGCAAUGUGCGUUAGCCUGACCCAGCCAAGUAGCGUGAAGGAUGAUGGGUUUUGGGUCGUAAACUUCUUUUAUAUAAGAAUAUUUAUUAUAUGAAUAAGGAUCGGCUAACUCCGUGCCAGCAGCCGCGGUAAUAC
rnacentral:rRNA from 1 species